GGACAGGACAGCGUGUGAACUACGUUGAACGGUUAAGUUUUAAAACGGAACGGUUACUUCUUUGAAACGUACCGUCUGCAGACUGACCUCUGCGCCCGUCACUUCGUUAUUGAAGCUGUACACUCAGUCACUGUAAGUUUACUGUUUGUCCGUGCGGUGGCAGCAGUGUGUGUACCGUGUUCAACGGUUCUGGGUGUGGCAGGGUCAAAGUUCACCUAAAACCCUUUACCGUUUCCAUUAGAAGCGUUUACAGGAUAUGAGCUUUGCACAUGCAGCCAGAAAGACAGGAAAAAACGUAAUUUCAUUGGAAAAGAUGCUUUGUUGUAGCUUAAUUCAAUUAUGAGGCACAUGUUGGAAGUUUGUGAGCAUCUGUAUGCUUCAAAUGUUUUUAUAAAGGCCACACAAGAGAUAGUAUGGGCAUCUGGAAAUAUUAACUCGCCCCAUGACAUGACCCCUCAAAAAUCUAAUCCCUUCUCUUUGGAAAUGAUCCAUUAUUUUCUUCUUCCAUCUUAAUUUCCCAUGUUAUAUUUGCAAGCAUCUUGCUAUAAACUAUUUAGAAAGUCAUCCAUACAAUCAUUCAAAAGCUAAAUGUGGAGAAGAAAAAAACAACAACAUAACAUAUACUACUCCUUAAGGUGGAACAUCUUUCAAUGUCAGUCUUAUUACAAAUUUGCAGCAAGUUUUAGAUUUCUGCGUUUAAGGCUUCUUAAUUUGAGAUUUACAUACAGAACAAAUAAGCAGGAAAUGAAUAAUAAAAUGAGAUGGAUGUGUUUUGUAAACUAAAAGAGAAUCAAAUAUGACCAUGUACUGUCCUACCAGCAUUCAAUAGACUCAAUACAGACUGUGAUUGAUAUACCAUUAUCACUUGCUUUCAUGUUGAUGUGUUUGGCUCUCAGCAUGGAAUGGGAUUCGUGAUUUAAUUGCUGAAGUAAUGGAACCAAUUUGUACCCUAUUCACAGAAGGGACCAGCUCUGGCUGUUCUUCUGAACAUAAAGUGCAAAAUACACAGGCAGCUGAGGCAUAUGUUUAAACAUCAAAACUGAUAUUUUACCAAAUUUACUGUGAAUGAUUCAAUGGUGCAUGUUAAUCCAGAGAACAAACACUGCAAUUCACAUCAACUGUAAAAGUCUGAUCAGAAUGAUUGAGGGGCUGUUUACACGACAACGUUUUCAGCCAAAAAAGGGAAACUUUUUAUGCGAUUUGCCUGUUCGUUUACGCAACAACAGUGUUUUGGGGAGUAAAAACGCAUAUUUUUGAAAAUGGGUUUCAAAGUACAAGUGUUUUGAAAAUGCCAAUGUUAUAGUUUCAGUGAAAGCACCCAAAACUGUAAUCUUUAAAAAUGGUGAUGCCAUAAGCGUGUGUAAUACAUGUCGAUUUUAAAGGAAAGCGCAAACAAACAUACACAAUAAUGGCAGAGUGUAUUGUACUGUUGUUGUGGUUUAAGAGUUUGAUAACGUUUCUUCAGCAAAGUGUGGAUUUACUUCACCGAUAUUACAACCAACAGCAGAGACACAUCAUAUACAUUGUAUAAUCAUCACUUCCCUGCAGGUACUGUUUACUAACAAAGUGACAGCGCCAACUACUGGCCUGGCAUACGUAAUGCAGCAUUUUUGGCCGAUUUUGUGGAUGUGUAAACGCGAAUCGUUUUGAAAACGCUGUCGUGUAUACAUGAAACUUUUUAAAAAAGCAAGAGAAAACGUUUGAGUAAACGUAGCCUCAGAUGAACAAUAACACUCAGAGAAGAGCCUGUGGGUCACUGCUGCGCAUGAUGUUUAUUCCAGCACAAUUAAAUUGUGUGUUGUAAAAUGUUUGGGUAGCUAGGAAGAGAAAGAGGAGUACAAAAUGAAAAUUAUGGACCAUUCUAUUGAAAUUUGGUUAAACUGCUAAUAUAUAGAUAUAUCUCACACGUUUUUUAAAAACAAAACCAUACUUAGGAAAACAAUGUUACGUCUCAAUCUGACAGACAGCGAGAACGAGUCAAGGAACCCGGCGUCUGAGAUCCUCGCGGUGAAGUUCGUGGUGAUGUAGCCUGCUCUGAAUGCAGUCCGCAUCUAACUUGGCUUUAGUCUUCUGGCAUCAUUCACAUUUCAAUCUGGCAGGCUACAGAAACACACAAUGUUCACUUUCACAGACGACAUGGCUUCGGUUAAGGGGGCAAAUGACAAUGUUUUCAUCUACAAAUGUCUAAUUUGUACAUCUAAGCAUCAUUUCUUUAGAACGCCACAACAUGGGCGUUUACUUUUGAGUACAUUAUUGCUGGACCUCGCCCAUAUUUCCUUUCGACAUGAUGAUAACCCGUAGACGGACUCGAGCACGCACUCUUUCCCCUCCGACACACACAAACAGAUCCAAUUUCACACAUGAGAAUCGCAAUCUUGUCUCGAGCUCGAGGAGAACGUUUCCAUUUUCCUCAAGACAGUCUAAAGCUAUUCUAAAAUAUCUACGCCUCUGAUCCCUUCAGCGUGGCAGCAGUUUUAAGACUGUUUCUUUUGAUGAACAGAAAUGCGCCCACGCGAUCGCCGCAGAAGACAGCAGAUGGCAGACGAGGUGAUGCUCAGAUACUGAGAGAAACAUAAGCACCUGCCGGGACAGAAGCUCCUUCCUGCUUCCUCUCCAACAUUCAUGAUAUUUCAGAAGUAAAAACGUCGAAAUCGACCGCAGCUCAGACUGCUUUCUGUACAAAGAUUAACCACAGAAUGAGGAAAAAGAACGUAAAAUCUCAACUAUUAAACAGAUAUUUUCCAACACUCUGAUAUAACAUGAAGCUACCAGACAUUAUGUGCAUCUAAAAAAUAGGAAAAAAAAAGCAAAGGGCAGUCGCACACAAUCACACAGGCAGGUUAUGCUGUCACAUUUACAGAAAUGAGACUCAAAACUCAACAAAUUUAAAUCUUUUUAGGACAAUGAACAAACACAAAAGUUCAGUCAGUAGAAUGUCCGCCCCCUUUUGACCCGAAGAUAAGCAUAUGGCUUAAUAUUUGCAAAACUUUGGAAGUGAGGGGUGUUUGUCCUAUGAAAUCGCUCGUGUGGCAGUCAUGUGGUGUGCUUGGAUGUGUCUGUAUGGCGUUGAUUGUGUAAAGUUCUCCUUGUUUUAAAACAAGAACCAGGUGCGUCUUGGAAAUUCGUCAUCAAAA